rnacentral:rRNA from 1 species
AGAGUUUGAUCCUGGCUCAGAACGAACGCUGGCGGCAGGCCUAAUACAUGCAAGUCGAGCGCGCCCUUCGGGGUGAGCGGCGGACGGGUGAGUAACGCGUGGGAAUAUGCCCUUCUCUAAGGAAUAGCCUCGGGAAACUGAGAGUAAUACCUUAUACGCCCUUCGGGGGAAAGAUUUAUCGGAGAAGGAUUAGCCCGCGUUAGAUUAGGUAGUUGGUGGGGUAAUGGCCUACCAAGCCUACGAUCUAUAGCUGGUUUGAGAGGAUGAUCAGCCACACUGGGACUGAGACACGGCCCAGACUCCUACGGGAGGCAGCAGUAGGGAAUCUUAGACAAUGGGGGAAACCCUGAUCUAGCCAUGCCGCGUGUGUGAUGAAGGCCUUAGGGUCGUAAAGCACUUUCGCCAGAGAUGAUAAUGACAGUAUCUGGUAAAGAAACCCCGGCUAACUCCGUGCCAGCAGCCGCGGUAAUACGGAGGGGGUUAGCGUUGUUCGGAAUUACUGGGCGUAAAGCGCACGUAGGCGGAUUAGUAAGUUAAGGGUGAAAUCCCAGGGCUCAACCCUGGAACUGCCUUUAAUACUGCUAGUCUUGAGUUCGAGAGAGGUAAGUGGAAUUCCAAGUGUAGAGGUGAAAUUCGUAGAUAUUUGGAGGAACACCAGUGGCGAAGGCGGCUUACUGGCUCGAAACUGACGCUGAGGUGCGAAAGUGUGGGGAGCAAACAGGAUUAGAUACCCUGGUAGUCCACACCGUAAACGAUGAAUGCCAGACGUCAGCAAGUAUACUU